AUGACAAUUCCCUGGAGCGCCCCAGCUCACCUCUGCCUGCCCUCGGGUUUGGGAUGGAUCAGCCUCAGCUCUGCGGCUCCUUCCCUCCCUGGCUCUGCCCGGCCUCUCUCAGGGGCUUUUACAGAGCCAUGGAACCAACAGAGCCAUGGAACCAUGGAAUUACAGAGCCAUGGAAUUACAGAGCCAUGGAAUUACAGAGCCAUGGAAUUACAGAGCCAUGGAAUCCCAGAGCCAUGGAACCAUGGAAUUACAGAGCCAUGGAACCACGAAACCACAGAGCCAUGGAAUCCCAGAGCCAUGGAAUCAUGGAGUCACAGAUCCACAGAAUCACAAAACCACAGACCCACAGAGUCACAGAACCACAGAAUGACCAGGUUGGAAGAGACCUCCAAGAUCAUCGAGUCCCACCCAGCCCAAGCACCACCACCUCAAGCAGCCCAUGGCACCGAGUGCCACACCCAGUCUUGUUUUAACCACAGCCAGGGCUGGUGGCUCCACCACUGCCCAGGAGGGCCAUUCCAGUCCUUUAUCCCCCUUUCAGGGAUGUCCAGGCUGGCAGAGCCAUUCCCCAGGGCUGGCACCGACCCUCUGUGCCCUGAACUGCCCCCAGCUCUGCUCCAGCACAGGGGGCACAGCCAGCUCAGGAAUUCUGUCCUUGCUCUAAAAGCUCUGCCAGCCCCGGUUGUGCUGGGGAUACAGGGUGUGCUCCCAGCCCUGGGAAUGCUGUCCAUGCUCAGGGAGCUGGGAAUGGGCUGGAGCUGCAGCCUCCAGCAGGGAGGGAGCUCCUCCAGGCACCUCCUUUUGGGAUCUUUUCCUGCUCAGGCCGGGCAGUGUUUGCAGUCCUGUUUGCCCAGGGAGGGUUGCAGUGCCCAUCCCAGAGAUGCCCAAGGAAUUCCUGGAGGUGGCACUCAGUGGAUGGGCACAGCUCGGAUCCUGGAGCUGUUUUCCAAGCUGAAUGAUCCUGGGAUUCCAGGAUUCUGUGGCAGCUGUGUACCUGAGCAGACCUCAUUAACUUCAGAUCAAAUGCAACACAAUUUCAUGCCCUGA
rnacentral:lncRNA from 1 species